AGCGAACGCUGGCGGCGUGCCUAACACAUGCAAGUCGAACGUGAAAAGGGAAACCUGAGUAAAGUGGCGUACGGGUGAGUAACGCGUAGGUAAUCUACCCCAGAAUCUGGAAUAACCCGCCGAAAGGCGGGCUAAUACUGGAUAGAGCGAGGGAACUCGUAAGAGAGUUUUUCGGGAAAGGGAGCCCGCAAGGGCCUUCGUUCUGGGAUGAGCCUGCGUCUCAUUAGCUAGUUGGUAAGGUAACGGCUUACCAAGGCGAUGAUGAGUAGCUGGUCUGAGAGGAUGAUCAGCCACACUGGAACUGAAACACGGUCCAGACUCCUACGGGAGGCAGCAGUGGGGAAUCUUGCGCAAUGGACGAAAGUCUGACGCAGCCACGCCGCGUGAGUGAAGAAGGCCUUCGGGUUGUAAAGCUCUGUCGGAUGGGACGAACAUCUUCAUAGUGAAUAGCUAUGAGGACUGACGGUACCAUCAAAGGAAGCACCGGCUAACUCCGU
rnacentral:rRNA from 1 species